CACAUGCAAGUCGAGCGAUUUACUUCGGUAAAGAGCGGCGGACGGGUGAGUAACGCGUGGGUAACCUGCCCUGUACACACGGAUAACAUACCGAAAGGUAUGCUAAUACGAGAUAAUAUGCUUUUGUCGCAUGGUAGAAGUAUCAAAGCUCCGGCGGUACAGGAUGGACCCGCGUCUGAUUAGCUAGUUGGUAAGGUAACGGCUUACCAAGGCGACGAUCAGUAGCCGACCUGAGAGGGUGAUCGGCCACAUUGGAACUGAGACACGGUCCAAACUCCUACGGGAGGCAGCAGUGGGGAAUAUUGCACAAUGGGCGAAAGCCUGAUGCAGCAACGCCGCGUGAGCGAUGAAGGCCUUCGGGUCGUAAAGCUCUGUCCUCAAGGAAGAUAAUGACGGUACUUGAGGAGGAAGCCCCGGCUAACUACGUGCCAGCAGCCGCGGUAAUACGUAGGGGGCUAGCGUUAUCCGGAAUUACUGGGCGUAAAGGGUGCGUAGGUGGUUUCUUAAGUCAGAGGUGAAAGGCUACGGCUCAACCGUAGUAAGCCUUUGAAACUGGGAAACUUGAGUGCAGGAGAGGAGAGUGGAAUUCCUAGUGUAGCGGUGAAAUGCGUAGAUAUUAGGAGGAACACCAGUUGCGAAGGCGGCUCUCUGGACUGUAACUGACACUGAGGCACGAAAGCGUGGGGAGCAAACAGGAUUAGAUACCCUGGUAGUCCACGCCGUAAACGAUGAGUACUAGCUGUCGGAGGUUACCCCCUUCGGUGGCGCAGCUAACGCAUUAAGUACUCCGCCUGGGAAGUACGCUCGCAAGAGUGAAACUCAAAGG
rnacentral:rRNA from 1 species